UUUGUGUCUGGUGUUCUGUACGUGAACUGGAGAGGAAGUCUGACGAGAUUUAUCCAAAAAUUUUAUUUUGCUCAAGACAAUUACUAUGAACUGAAUGUCCUACAACGAGAUAUUGAUAACUUGUGAGUAAAAUUUUACAAUUCAAAGUAUCUCAGAAAAUGUACGAAAACAUACACUUAAAGGUCGUUUUCCACUAGGCGGAAUUUUUCGGGCAGGACGGAAUUUCUCUUUGUCUUUUCUAAUCAGUUCCACCCGAGAAAUCACAAGACAAAGAGAAAUUCCGCUCCGCGCGGAAAAUUCCGCCUAGUGGAAAACGCCCUUAACCCACUGAUUGCAAUGCAGCGCUCUCCCCUUGACGAAUACAAUUGUCUGGCGUUAGACUGAGUAAAAUAAUAAAGUAGGGCACAUCACCACACAAUGCAACUCAAUUGGUUAAUACAGCUCAUUUGUGUUUAUCUGAAAAUUCUUGAGACAACCAGCAUUCUCCUAUAUUCGAGUUUAGCGUCAUCAAUUUUCCAUAUCGCUUUCUACAGUGUUUUGGCAAAAAUGGUCCCAGAUUUGAAAUUUUCCUCAAAUUAUCUACACAGAAAAUUUCACAUUGUUCAGAACGUUAGCGUGUGGGUUGAUUGGCAUUUGAGCACUUAACUUGCAGUAAAGCUCAAUUUCUCAUGCUUUGAAAAUUUGGAAAAUUCUCACGACACUUUUUCUAUUUCAACCAAGAAUAUGGGUAAAACUGGCCAGUGAAAAGGGACUGGCACUUGAUGCCUCCUGCCCCUCCAUUCCCCCACCAGGCACACCCCUUUUGCUGGCCCUGUGCGUGAGAAUCUAUUUGAUUCUCUUUUGUAGAGAUCAGAGAAUCACUCAAGAUGUGGAUAAAUUCAGCAAUCAGUUCAGCAGUAUUUUCUCAACUCUCGUCAUCUCGCCAUUUACUGUGGGCUACUACACUUAUCAGUGUUACAAAAG